AACCUAGCACACCUGCGGUGUGUACCUGCGGAGGGAUCAUUACCGAGUGUGGUCCCAUAUAAGGGGCGCCUCCCGUCCUUUGCAGGGCCUUUAGGGGCUUUUUGACUUUGCUUCGGCGGGCUUGCCCCGCCGGAACACCCUCAAGAAAAUCUUUAUGAACCGUUUGUCUGAGUUGCUUGCGAAUAAAAACAAAACUUUUAACAACGGAUCU
rnacentral:misc_RNA from 1 species